GCGAGUCUCAGAGAACAUUCAACGCUGUCGGUGAGUUUGCAAGUGAGAAAAACCAUCGAGUGUUGAGUGUACCCUGCCUCUCGA
rnacentral:pre_miRNA from 1 species